rnacentral:rRNA from 1 species
GUAGGGUGCGAGCGUUAAUCGGAAUUACUGGGCGUAAAGCGAGCGCAGACGGUUAAAUAAGUCAGAUGUGGAAUCCCCGAGCUCAACUUGGGACGUGCAUUUGAAACUGUGUAACUAGAGUGUGUCAGAGGGAGGUAGAAUUCCACGUGUAGCAGUGAAAUGCGUAGAGAUGUGGAGGAAUACCGAUGGCGAAGGCAGCCUCCUGGGAUAACACUGACGUUCAUGCUCGAAAGCGUGGGUAGCAAACAGGAUUAGAUACCCUGGUAGUCCACGCCCUAAACGAUGACAAUUAGCUGUUGGGGUACUAGUUACCUUAGUAGCGAAGUAACGCGUGAAAUUGUCCGCCUAGGGAGUACGGUCGCAAGAUUA